UUAUGUCUAGCUCAGUCAGUAGAGUGGAAGACUUUUAACUUGAGGUUGUGGGUUCAAGCUCCAUGGUGGACG
rnacentral:tRNA from 7 species